AUUGAACGCUGGCGGCAUGCCUUACACAUGCAAGUCGAACGGUAACAGGUCUUCGGAUGCUGACGAGUGGCGAACGGGUGAGUAAUACAUCGGAACGUGCCCGAGAGUGGGGGAUAACGAGGCGAAAGCUUUGCUAAUACCGCAUACGAUCUCAGGAUGAAAGCAGGGGACCGCAAGGCCUUGCGCUCACGGAGCGGCCGAUGGCAGAUUAGGUAGUUGGUGGGAUAAAAGCUUACCAAGCCGACGAUCUGUAGCUGGUCUGAGAGGACGACCAGCCACACUGGGACUGAGACACGGCCCAGACUCCUACGGGAGGCAGCAGUGGGGAAUUUUGGACAAUGGGCGCAAGCCUGAUCCAGCCAUGCCGCGUGCAGGAUGAAGGCCUUCGGGUUGUAAACUGCUUUUGUACGGAACGAAAAGCCCCGGGUUAAUACCCUGGGGUCAUGACGGUACCGUAAGAAUAAGCACCGGCUAACUACGUGCCAGCAGCCGCAGUAAAAC
rnacentral:rRNA from 1 species